rnacentral:lncRNA from 1 species
AGAAAUAGGCAACACUUUCACUUACAUCAGUUUUAGGUUCAAAGAAUUCUGGGUCAGACAUUAUUUCCAAAGUACUCAAAUUACACAUACAUUCCUUGAAAAGUGGAGAUCACGAAAGCUUCCAACAUGAAUAGACAAAUAACAAACAUUCUCUAAUAGCAGUGGCAUGAAAUCUCGAUAGAAGACAGCCUACAAGUUAUAAACACAAACAUAAGGGAACCGAAAAACAAGAAUUACGAACAUUAAUUAAGAAAAGAACUACC